UACGUAGGGUGCGAGCGUUAUCCGGAUUUAUUGGGUUUAAAGGGUGCGCAGGCGGGAGAUUAAGUCGGCGGUGAAAUUUUGCAGCUCAACUGUAAAAGUGCCUUCGAAACUGGUUUCCUUGAGUGUGGAUGAAGUAGGCGGAAUUUGUGGUGUAGCGGUGAAAUGCAUAGAUAUCACGAGGAACUCCGAUUGCGCAGGCAGCUUACUAGGCCAUAACUGACGCUCAGGAACGAAGGCGUGGGGAUCAAACAGGAUUAGAUACCCCUGUAGU
rnacentral:rRNA from 1 species